UACGUAGGGGGCUAGCGUUGCUCGGAAUGACUGGGCGUAAAGGGCGCGUAGGCGGCUUGCACAGUCAGGCGUGAAAUUCCUGGGCUCAACCUGGGGACUGCGCUUGAGACGUGUGGGCUUGAGUGGGGAAGAGGGUCGUGGAAUUCCCAGUGUAGAGGUGAAAUUCGUAGAUAUCUGGAGGAACACCGGUGGCGAAGGCGGCAUCCUGGACCAUUACUGACGCUGAGGAGCGAAAGCUAGGGGAGCAAAUGGG
rnacentral:rRNA from 1 species